AUGACGCUCUCCGAUCUGAAUUUUGCCGCUGGAAGGGCUUUUGAAUCCUACAUCAAGAAUCAGUGUGGUGUUUCAGUCAAUCCUAUUGCUACGUCAUCGCCGGACAGGUUCUUCCUUGUGGCCUCUGCAUGCAAGAUGCAGGUUCUGGAAGCAGUUGAGGAAGCGCCCAAGCUGGUUUUUUCCACUCCUCAAGAAAAGAAAUCCUCUGCAACUGUGGAGGUGCAACCUUCAAGUACAUCUGUAGUGCAUGCUAACAGGAAGAGGAGGGAAAAGUUACCCUUGGCAGAGUCUGAGAAGAAGGCCAAGAAGCAGAAAGCUGCAGUGGAGCCCACAAAGAGGUCCCAGAGGAAAGGACCAGGAACUGAGGAGAAGCAUAGUUGGAUUUCAGUAUCUGCAAGAUACUAG
rnacentral:rRNA from 1 species